rnacentral:rRNA from 1 species
UGGGCAACCUGCUCCUCUCUCUGGGAUAACCCCGGGAAACCGGCGCUAAUACCGGAUACUCCGGCUGGAUCGCAUGGUCCGGCCGGGAAAGGUCCGCCGGAGAGGGAUGGGCCCGCGGCCUAUCAGCUUGUUGGUGGGGUCAUGGCUCACCAAGGCGACGACGGGUAGCUGGUCUGAGAGGACGACCAGCCACACUGGAACUGAGACACGGCCCAGACUCCUACGGGAGGCA